rnacentral:rRNA from 1 species
AGUGAACGCUGGCGGCAGGCCUAAUACAUGCAAGUCGAACGGCAGCACGGCAGAGCUUGCUCUGUGGGUGGCGAGUGGCGGACGGGUGAGGAAUACAUGGGAAUCUGCCCAGUCGUGGGGGAUAACGUAGGGAAACUUACGCUAAUACCGCAUGCGCCCUUCGGGGGAAAGCCGGGGACCUUCGGGCCUGGCGCGAUUGGAUGAGCCCAUGUCGGAUUAGCUAGUUGGCGGGGUAAAGGCCCACCAAGGCGACGAUCCGUAGCUGGUCUGAGAGGAUGAUCAGCCACACUGGAACUGAGACACGGUCCAGACUCCUACGGGAGGCAGCAGUAGGGAAUAUUGGACAAUGGGCGCAAGCCUGAUCCAGCCAUGCCGCGUGAGUGAAGAAGGCCCUCGGGUUGUAAAGCUCUUUUGUCCGGAAAGAAAAGCGCCGGGUUAAUACCCUGGUGUCCUGACGGUACCGGAAGAAUAAGCACCGGCUAACUUCGUGCCAGCAGCCGCGGUAAAC